GAUGAACGCUAGCUACAGGCUUAACACAUGCAAGUCGAGGGGCAGCGGUAUCGAAAGCUUGCUUUCGGUAGCCGGCGACCGGCGCACGGGUGAGUAACGCGUAUCGAACCUGCCUCAUACUCGGGAAUAGCCUUGCGAAAGUAAGAUUAAUGCCCGGUGUUUUCAGAGUCCCGCAUGAGGCUUUGAACAAAGAUUUAUCGGUAUGAGAUGGCGAUGCGUCCCAUUAGCUUGUUGGCGGGGUAACGGCCCACCAAGGCAUCGAUGGGUAGGGGUUCUGAGAGGAAGGUCCCCCGCAUUGGAACUGGGACACGGUCCAAACUCCUACGGGAGGCAGCAGUGAGGAAUAUUGGUCAAUGGGCGGAAGCCUGAACCAGCCAAGUAGCGUGCAGGAAGACGGCCCUCCGGGUUGUAAACUGCUUUUAGUUGGGAAUAAAACGGGGCUCGUGAGCCCCCUUGCAUGUACCAUCAGAAAAAGGACCGGCUAAUUCCGUGCCAGCCGCCGCAGUAA
rnacentral:rRNA from 1 species